rnacentral:rRNA from 1 species
GACAGAGGUGCCAAGCGUUAGGCGGAAUCACUGGGCUUAAAGCGUGUGUAGGCGGAUGUCUAAGUACCUUGUGAAAUCCCACGGCUCAACCGUGGAACUGCUGGGUAUACUGGAUGUCUUGAGCCAGCUAGGGGCUACCGGAACAAAUGGUGGAGCGGUGAAAUGCGUAGAUAUCAUUUGGAACGCCAAUGGUGAAAACAGGUAGCUGGGGCUGUGCUGACGCUGAGACACGAAAGCCAGGGGAGCGAACGGG